CCUUUGGAGCGGAGGAUAUUACG
rnacentral:rRNA from 1 species